rnacentral:rRNA from 1 species
GGCUCAGGACGAACGCUGGCGGCGUGCCUAAUACAUGCAAGUCGAGCGAAUCGACGGGAGCUUGCUCCCUGAGAUUAGCGGCGGACGGGUGAGUAACACGUGGGCAACCUGCCUAUAAGACUGGGAUAACUUCGGGAAACCGGAGCUAAUACCGGAUACGUUCUUUUCUCGCAUGAGAGAAGAUGGAAAGACGGUUUACGCUGUCACUUAUAGAUGGGCCCGCGGCGCAUUAGCUAGUUGGUGAGGUAAUGGCUCACCAAGGCGACGAUGCGUAGCCGACCUGAGAGGGUGAUCGGCCACACUGGGACUGAGACACGGCCCAGACUCCUACGGGAGGCAGCAGUAGGGAAUCUUCCGCAAUGGACGAAAGUCUGACGGAGCAACGCCGCGUGAACGAAGAAGGCCUUCGGGUCGUAAAGUUCUGUUGUUAGGGAAGAACAAGUACCAGAGUAACUGCUGGUACCUUGACGGUACCUAACCAGAAAGCCACGGCUAACUACGUGCCAG